rnacentral:rRNA from 1 species
CAGUAGCGUAUAUUAAAGCUGUUGCGGUUAAAAAGCUCGUAAUUGGAUAUCAGUGCGUGUCCGGUCCGGUAUGCCCGGCGGCGGCGCUCGCGCGUCACUGCCGGGCUCCCAAAUAUCGGCUGGCCGCAUUCAAUCGUGCCGGAUCCGUCGACGGGCCGUUCUACGGAGGGGCCUGUUGGCGACCGGCGACGUUACCUUGAACAAAUUAGAGUGCUCAAAGCAGGCUCUGAAUGCCUGUAUACAUAUUCAUGGAAUUGGAGAAUACGUCCCUGGCUCGAUUUGGUUGGUUUUGAGAGUCGAAGGGAAAUGAUUAAUAGGGACUGACGGAGGCAUUCGUAUUGCGACGCGAGGGGUGAAAUCCUGUGACCGUCGCACGACGAACUACUGCGAAAGCAUUUGCCGAGAAUGUUUUCAUUAG